UCCCUCAUGGCUUAGCAGUAAAGAAUCUGCCUGCUAAUGCAGGAGACUCAGGUUCCAUCCCUGAUUGAGGAG
rnacentral:tRNA from 1 species